UCAGAGGCACCUCAGAAGCCUUCAUCCACACUGAGCGCGAGUGAAACCCUGCAGGGAUGUGGCAGCGGUGGGCUGCAAAGUGUGCACGUGCCAUUGGUGGAGGUGCCUGUGUUGCAGCAGCUUUCGGAGAACAUUUAUCUGAGCCUCGUGGUGUCUGCAGCAGCCAUCCAUUGCACCGGCACGGCGUCCAAACUGCAGCGUCCUCCACCGCUGGAGGGCUGAGCAAAGGCUGCAGGGAAGGGUCCGUCCGUGUACACAAAGUACUCACCGAGGUUUCUGACAUUUUCUACAGAUGGAGCUUCAACGCAGGAUGGCAAACCAGGGGGAAUGGGUGUGGAGUGAACAAGAAGCCUCUUUGCCAUCCCUCUGGCUGCUCCCACUGCAGGGCAAGACCCGUGUGGCCCCAUCACCUGAUACAGGUGCAGGUUUGCAACGUCCUCUGUCCAGCCGGGGCUGACUCAGCCAGCUCAGAGCUUCUCAUUUGGGGAUCUUUUUUCCUCCUUUCUCCUGAAGGAGCUGGCUUGGUCCCUAUCCCAGGCAGAAGAGGGCCCUUCUGUUCCUCACACCCCUCGCACCCCUCUGGCUGAGGCGCUUGUUGCAGGAGCCCGGAGGAACGUUCAGCAAUUGUCUGUUCUGGCCCCAAAUCCCUGGCACUCGCACACAGCAGGCCUGAAAUGGCCCCUUUCCCAGACAGCUCUUUAAGCAAGGUUUUCCUGUCUCUCUCUUUAAUGACUCUCAGCCAUCCUUUCCCCGCUCGCUGGAGCCGGGGCAGAUGCGGGGGGGCGAGCACCCCCUGCUCCCACUCCCCCCACUCCCUUCCCUCUACCCACAGCAUAUUUGGGGUCCCACAGCAAGUCUUGUCCCACUAGGAGGAAAUUCCCAGCUUCUGGGCCUGACCCCAUUUGCUAUCAUUUCCCUUUCCAUUUACUCCUAUAGAGAACCCCCCCAGGAGCAGGGGUGAUGUCUUUCUGUGGCUCUUCCCCCCCCCUUACUC